UUCGCUCAGCUAAAGAAGAUAUUUGCCUCUGAAGAAUAGAUGGUUACAAUAAAGAGCAGCAUAGAGCAGAUGAACUUCUUUUAUUUUACAGAGGGAAAAAAUUGCAGAAAAACACUUUCACUACGAAGAGUAGGAGAAUGACUAUGGGGGGUUUGUUUGAGAAUUCACUGAAUUGGUCAGCUGUUAUUUUGGGUUUUAAUUUUUUGUCCUUGGAGAAUAUUUUAAAAUACAGAAGGUUUGUACUUGUCAAUUCAGUGUUUAUAAUUAGUGUGUAUGUGUGUUGUAGAGAAA